rnacentral:rRNA from 1 species
CCUACGGGUGGCAGCAGUGAGGAAUAUUGGUCAAUGGGCGAGAGCCUGAACCAGCCAAGUCGCGUGAGGGAGUACUGCCCUAUGGGUUGUAAACCUCUUUUGUCGGGGAGCAAAAGCCGGACGUGUCCGGCUGUGAGAGUACCCGAAGAAAAAGCAUCGGCUAACUCCGUGCCAGCAGCCGCGGUAAUACGGGGGAUGCGAGCGUUAUCCGGAUUUAUUGGGUUUAAAGGGUGCGCAGGCGGAUUUUUAAGUCAGCGGUAAAAUCGUGGGGCUCAACCCCAUCCAGCCGUUGAAACUGGGGAUCUAGAGUGGGCGAGAGGUAUGCGGAAUGCGUGGUGUAGCGGUGAAAUGCAUAGAUAUCACGCAGAACCCCGAUUGCGAAGGCAGCAUACCGGUGCACAACUGACGCUCAGGCACGAAAGCGUGGGUAUCGAACAGGAUUAGAUACCCGAGUAGUC